rnacentral:rRNA from 1 species
GACGAACGCUGGCGGCGUGCCUAAUACAUGCAAGUAGAACGCACAGUUUAUACCGUAGCUUGCUACACCAUAGACUGUGAGUUGCGAACGGGUGAGUAACGCGUAGGUAACCUGCCUGGUAGCGGGGGAUAACUAUUGGAAACGAUAGCUAAUACCGCAUAAUAUUAAUUAUUGCAUGAUAAUUAAUUGAAAGGUGCAAUUGCACCACUACCAGAUGGACCUGCGUUGUAUUAGCUAGUAGGUGAGGUAACGGCUCACCUAGGCGACGAUACAUAGCCGACCUGAGAGGGUGAUCGGCCACACUGGGACUGAGACACGGCCCAGACUCCUACGGGAGGCAGCAGUAGGGAAUCUUCGGCAAUGGACGAAAGUCUGACCGAGCAACGCCGCGUGAGUGAAGAAGGUUUUCGGAUCGUAAAGCUCUGUUGUAAGAGAAGAACGGGUGUGGGAGUGGAAAGUUCACACUGUGACGGUAUCUUACCAGAAAGGGACGGCUAACUACGUG